rnacentral:rRNA from 1 species
GAUGAACGCUGGCGGCGUGCCUAAUACAUGCAAGUCGAGCGAACGGACGAGAAGCGUUCUUCUCUGAUGUUAGCGGCGGACGGGUGAGUAACACGUAGAUAACCUACCUAUAAGACUUGGAUAACUUCGGGAAACCGUAGCUAAUACCGGAUAAUAUUUUGAACCGCAUGGUUCAAAAGUGAAAGACAGUCUUGCUGUCACUUAGAGAUGGAGCCGCGCUGCAUUAGCUAGUUGGUAAGGUAACGGCUUACCAAGGCAACGAUGCAUAGCCGACCUGAGAGGGUGAUCAGCCACACUGGAACUGAGACACGGUCCAGACUCCUACGGGAGGCAGCAGUAGGGAAUAUUCCGCAAUGGGCGCAAGCCUGACGGAGCCACGCCGCGUGAGUGAUGAAGGUCUUCGGAUCGUAAAACUCUGUUAUUAGGGAAGAAAAUCUGUGUAAGUAACUGUGCAUAUCUUGACGGUACCUAAUCAGAAAGCCACGGCUAACUACGUG